GGCCUCGUAGCUCAACUGGCUAGAGCGUUGGUUGUAUUAAAGCCUUCCCCUUGCUCGCGUGGGUUCGAAACCCUCCAAGGCCA
rnacentral:tRNA from 1 species